GAUCUAGGUUCUUCACUUGGUGGAGUCUGGGAGUUGUAAAACUCCUUCAUAUUUUGUUUGAAGUAUACCUGCUCAUAAAGACAAGGCAGAGAUCAAGUGCAUGGGCCCUGUUGGUGGAAAACACCAACAGAACCAAAAGUGUAUUUGUUCUUCUCUAACCUUAUGCAUAGUGAGCAAGACAAAGUUGAUGGAUAAUAAGAUCAUGAGUGUAGCAUUUAAAGCAUUUGUCAGAUCAGAUCGCUCAACCUAAUGGAAAGAUAAUCUAUCUAUAUUUAUGUUGUUUAUAUCUUCCAAAGUUUGAAUGUGCAACAUUUUAGCUUAUAUGAUUAGGAGUGUGGAAUCACAACGGUGGAAGGACUAAACAUGUUGAAUCGAUUGGGUUGGUUAAUCUAGAGUUGUAAAUCAUACA
rnacentral:lncRNA from 1 species